GACGAACGCUGGCGGCGUGCCUAAUACAUGCAGGUAGAACGCUGAAGGAGGAGCUUGCUUCUCUGGAUGAGUUGCGAACGGGUGAGUAACGCGUAGGUAACCUGCCUGGUAGCGGGGGAUAACUAUUGGAAACGAUAGCUAAUACCGCAUAAGAGUGGAUGUUGCAUGACAUUUGCUUAAAAGGUGCACUUGCAUCACUACCAGAUGGACCUGCGUUGUAUUAGCUAGUUGGUGGGGUAAGGGCUCACCAAGGCGACGAUACAUAGCCGACCUGAGAGGGUGAUCGGCCACACUGGGACUGAGACACGGCCCAGACUCCUACGGGAGGCAGCAGUAGGGAAUCUUCGGCAAUGGACGGAAGUCUGACCGAGCAACGCCGCGUGAGUGAAGAAGGUUUUCGGAUCGUAAAGCUCUGUUGUAAGAGAAGAACGAGUGUGAGAGUGGAAAGUUCACACUGUGACGGUAUCUUACCAGAAAGGGACGGCUAACUACGUGCCAGCAGCCGCGGUAAUACGUAGGUCCCGAGCGUUGUCCGGAUUUAUUGGGCGUAAAGCGAGCGCAGGCGGUUAGAUAAGUCUGAAGUUAAAGGCUGUGGCUUAACCAUAGUAGGCUUUGGAAACUGUUUAACUUGAGUGCAAGAGGGGAGAGUGGAAUUCCAUGUGUAGCGGUGAAAUGCGUAGAUAUAUGGAGGAACACCGGUGGCGAAAGCGGCUCUCUGGCUUGUAACUGACGCUGAGGCUCGAAAGCGUGGGGAGCAAACAGGAUUAGAUACCCUGGUAGUCCACGCUGUAAACGAUGAGUGCUAGGUGUUAGACCCUUUCCGGGGUUUAGUGCCGUAGCUAACGCAUUAAGCACUCCGCCUGGGGAGUACGACCGCAAGGUUGAAACUCAAAGGAAUUGACGGGGGCCCGCACAAGCGGUGGAGCGUGUGGUUUAAUUCGAAGCAACGCGAAGAACCUUACCAGGUCUUGACAUCCCUCUGACCGCUCUAGAGAUAGAGCUUUCCUUCGGGACAGAGGUGACAGGUGGUGCAUGGUUGUCGUCAGCUCGUGUCGUGAGAUGUUGGGUUAAGUCCCGCAACGAGCGCAACCCCUAUUGUUAGUUGCCAUCAUUUAGUUGGGCACUCUAGCGAGACUGCCGGUAAUAAACCGGAGGAAGGUGGGGAUGACGUCAAAUCAUCAUGCCCCUUAUGACCUGGGCUACACACGUGCUACAAUGGCUGGUACAACGAGUCGCAAGCCGGUGACGGCAAGCUAAUCUCUUAAAGCCAGUCUCAGUUCGGAUUGUAGGCUGCAACUCGCCUACAUGAAGUCGGAAUCGCUAGUAAUCGCGGAUCAGCACGUCGCGGUGAAUACGUUCCCGGGCCU
rnacentral:rRNA from 1 species